rnacentral:rRNA from 1 species
GACGAACGCUGGCGGCGUGCUUAACACAUGCAAGUCGAACGAAGUGGCGAACGGGUGAGUAACGCGUAAUCAACCUGCCCUUCAGAGGGGGACAACAGUUGGAAACGACUGCUAAUACCGCAUACAGAAGGAGGGGAUUGCGUCUGAUUAGCUAGGUGGAGGGGUAACGGCCCACCAAGGCGAUGAACAGUAGCCGGUCUGAGAGGAGUGACGGCCGCCUUGGGACUGAGACACGGCCCAGACUCCUACGGGAGGCAGCCGUGGGGAAUCUUCCGCAAUGGACGACAGGCUGACGGAGCAACGCCGCGGAGGUGAUGACGGCCUUCGGGUUGUAAAGCUCUGUUAAUCGGUACGCGGUACCGGAAUAGAAGGCCACGGCUAACUACGUGCCAGCAGCCGCGGUAAUAC